UUUCUGCAAGUGAUCCUAAGUCAGGAUGUUAUACCAUGAUAUGUAGCUGCUGCUUUUUCUACACAUGAGGCUUUCCUUUUCUUUAUUAGGUUAAGUUGUAUACUGUAGAUGUAUCCUGACUUCAUGUCCUCCACCAGAGAAGCUGGAGGCAAAAGUCCCAUUGAUUUAAGACCUGAGGGUGAAAUUGUAAUCCCAGUGCUUCAGAAACUCAUUUAGAAGUGGAGGCUAGAGGGUCUUUAAGGUGAAAAGAGAAACAAACACAAACCACACUGACCUCAUAUUAUGUGUACUUCAGAAAGCCCUUUAUAUUCUUUAUUUUCUCUUGUAUGUUGACCUUACACUCUAUAACCAACAGGGUAAAUUAAUAAUCUCAAAGGAUGCAAACCUAUAAGUCCAAAUGCAUUCUCAUGCGAAUUGAUGUUGGAAAGUCUCAGGGGGACAAAUAUCCACCACAAUUCCCCAAAGGAAAGGUAGUAACGAUGCCAUUUCUUGUUACUUUGGUCAUUUUUUAAGGCAAAGGCAAUGCUUAACUGGUUCACUUAGCUUCUUGGCAAUCUUUUCCAUCUUUUCUCAAGGGAACAUCAAUGGACAUUCAAGAAUAUUCACCAGCUAUGAGUCAGAAAAUAGGACAGAGACUUGGAGACUUUUCCAAGAACAAUUAGCACUAACAAAACUAUUAUGCGUAAUAUUUAAUACUAUAUACCACUUGAAAUUUUACACUUUUUUGUGCACAGAUUGUUCUAUAGAAUAUCCUCAAAAAGAUGGCAUGUCCUGUUAUCACAAAUGAGAAAUCUGCCACAAACCUUCAAGUCUAGUGAAAGUCCACUGAAUCCAAGUGCCCAGUACAACAGAAGAAGCCACUGUUACAAAUGCUUUUCUCUGGUGUCUCAGCCAGCCUGGUUAGAAACUACUCCUGCAUAAUGCCUAAGUGGUUUUGGAAACAUUAGCUGUGUACUCUGCACAUCAUAUAUACUUACAGUGCAUAUUUAAUAACAUUACUACAAAUACAUAUUAAUGCAAAUAAUAAUAGAAGAUGGACAGAGACUGGUUGAGAGCACUAGAGGAGCGAAACAUCCUUUGAGAUCGCUCUUCAGCAUAGGAACUUGUUUAACUGAGAAGGCAAUGCCAGCUUCCCCUUCAUAUUCCCCCUCUGUGCUCCCUGAGGUUGGUCACUUGUUCAUCCACCUUUUGUCUGUGGUUUCCUGACUUCCUGACAGCUGACGAAGUUCAACUCAGAACAGACAUGUCAAAAACCCAAGGAGACCCAAGGAGGGUCACACAUGGAAACAAAUCAAAUGUUAAUGCAUUUCCCAGACUGAUGACAAAAGGACUUACGAAGGCCAGCUCACACUCUCUACAAAAUUUGGUAUCGUUCCUAAACCUUAGACUUUCCCAGGUAUUUUGCUCCUACUUUAUCGCUAGCAUAGCAGGACUGCUAUUCUCUUAAGCAUGUAUGUUGACAACAGAAACCCACAAUUUUAUUCCAGUUCUCCUGUAUAGAUCUAUUCUGGUUUGUAUCCUUGUGUGUAUGAACAAAGUGACACUACAACUUACUACACAAAACACAAAUCCCUGCAGACACCUUCCCAUUCCCACAUGAAGCAAGCCUUUGCAAGGCUAUGGCUGCUGCACAGACACAAAACAUUAGUGCAGACAGUUUCCGGCUCCCAUAGAUCUCAGAUCUCCUUGUAGGGGCUGGCAGGUUACUUGCCCCUUUUCUUAAACAGAGCUCCUUUUCUGUCCGAGUUCCUUCACUGCAGAUUCCAGCAGUAUGUGGAUGAUCAGACUCAUGCACUUACUUACUCAUGCGUUUUAACUUAGCUGAAAUGACAAAAAGUAUUUUACAGCAAGUUCUGCUUUGGUGUGCAAAGCACAGGGUGUGCAAAGAACUAAGUACAUCCAAGAUAGAAAGUUGCUUCCCCAUUGCAAAGCCAGGUGCAAGUGCUCAUGGAGCAGCAAUAACAUGGGGGACAAAGACUACUUUUCCUCCCUCCAGUAAAUCUAUAUCUUCCAUAGACAAACAAGGAAGACCAUCAACUACCAGCAUACGCUCAGUUAUGACCAGCCUUAUAUUUCUGCUUGACUGGAGUCUUCUUGUAUAUUGUUGCACUCAGUGUAUGUCUUCUAAAAUAUUUCUGUAAUGAUAACAGGACAUUUGUGAAAAUGCUGUUCAUUUCACAGCAAACCAUGCAACAGUGAGCACCCAAAUGAAGGCAGUGUGUCGUGCUGAAGAUCUCCAAGGAGAAUGAUGUUUUCAGUGUACAACUUACAUUAAGCCAUCUUCCUGAGGACAUAUGUCAAGCCCUUUGUACACAAUAGAUUUUUCUCGCUUGAAGCAGCAUAUGUUUGCAAGAACAAUGCUGUAGCAUCUAAUGCCACAUACUAGACAGAGUCUUUCUCCUGCUGCCCCUGAGGCCAUGAGGUAGAGGGACCACAGGAAGGCAAACACAAGGAACUGCUCUCUUCAUAUUAACAGACAUAUCAGAAAUACCAUUCUCAGAUGUAUAUCAGUUACCUGAAAUAAAAUCUUGACUAUUUUAACAAUUCUGAUACAUCAUUUGCCUAUUUGGAUGACCCGGACACUCAUUCAUUACAUGAACUGCAAGAGAUAAUCCACUCCAAAGUUAUUCAUGCAGUGGUAUGACUUGUCUUUAGUGGAGUCAUGACACAACUGGAUGUGAUUCAAAAAGGGCUUCAAUCUGCAAAUAAUGCAUAAAGAAACAUGUUAUGGCAUUUAGGAAACACAAAGUCUCAAAGAUACUUGCUUCAUUGGAGGAAUUACUGAAUAUGACUUAAAAUACUUGGCAAGUAAUUCAAGACUUCAUUUCCAAGUCAAGAAACAGCAAUGAGCUUUUGCAACAUUUUUGGAUGGAGCAGCUUGCUGGGUUUUAUGUCUCCUCUAUGAUACUAACAGCACAACACAUACAAUUACUGCAAAAUAGCAAGCCUAUGAAAAUAAAUGAAAAAAAAAAAAAGGCAGAUCACUAAACCUCAAUUGUAAAUGCUAAGCGUGCUGCGAACAAAACCAAAUUUGCAUUUGACCAACCCUUCUUUUCUUUCUUUAUUUCACCAAGACACAAUUGGAUGUUCAAAACGCUACAAAUGUGGAACAAAACUACCAAUUCUGCUCCUUAGAAUAAAAGGUUAAGCUUGUAAUUACACGGCUUCAGCGUAUCAUUUUGUACAAUUACUAAUUAACCACCAUCCCUGAUCAGAGAAUACAGAAGUAGUGAAUUUCUUCCAUAAGAGCUGCGCCUGCUUCUUUUUAAGUUAAGUUCUGCUACGGAGGGAGGAAAAACACCACAGGCACGCCGGCAUCUGCGCGUGGGGCGGCGGGCGGGGGGACACCCAACGGAAAAAACGCUUCUGUGCACAAAACCAUCCCGCUACGCGGAUGUCGGCACGCCUUGCUGUGCCGCCCAGCACGGGGGUCCGCAACGCCCCCUCUCCGCGGCGGGGCGCGGACGGACGCGUUUUAGGGAAGCAGGCGAAACAAAGCAGCUGCCCCCCCAUCCCGCGCCCCUUACGCCGCCGCCAAAGUUCCCUCCCGCCGGGGCUGCCGCACACCGCUGAGCCCG
ensembl:lncRNA